GGACAACACCUGCAGAAAAGAAUAUUUUGCCACUGAAACCAUCAGCUCAUGAGUCUUCUGGUUUGGCGAGUGGCUCAGCCAGAUGGGUCUCUCUUUGCUGCCUCCUGGUAGGCAGUGAUGAGCGCCAUGCUGACUGGCUUGACCAGUGAUCCUCACCGAUGGGACACAUUAUUUUCCAUAGUAGCUGUGAGCUGCUAACUCCUCCUGCAAGCCCUUGGAAAGAUCACAGUUGCCAAGCUGUUCACAGGACCCUGACCCAGCAGCCCCUCAUGGGUCUGGGUAGCUGCAAGGAGAGCAUUUUUAGAGAGGAAGAGGCCUGCCCUGCCCUGCCUUCUCAUCUUUUUCUUCCCACCCCUUUUCUUGAAGGAUGCUGCUGCUCAUAUGAGAACUUCCCUUAGGGUUUGUUUGCUUCCUCCUUGAGCAGAACUUUCUGCUUUGGAAAAAUGAAGUCAGCAGCUGUAACUGUUGUGAAUGGCAGGGCAGCAGUUUGAAGCAGGACUGUACUUUCUUCUUGCUCCCCUUCUAUCCAAAUCAGCAACAGGGAAACCACUGGUAAAAUGAAGCACUUCUCCACAGAGAUGUUUCCUAGGAUGAUUCUUAUAUAACUUAGAAGGUCAAAGUCAGCUUUUGGGACAUGCAUGUUAUUAAGGUGCUGUAAGUUAACGAUCACAUCACAGAACAAAUUUUGAGUGCUAGCCAGUCCAAAUAUAUCAGGAACAAUUUUUGCCCACAGCACAUCUAAAUUCAGUUCUGAGCUUCAGCUGAUCAGUAUGGAUUAUAUUAAUUCAGAAAAGAGAAGAAAAUAGCUCAUUGUGCAGUUUACAAGGUGCCUGAGUUACAGGACAGCUGUUGAAUCUGGAAGUUCCUUACCCCAUACACUAGAGAAAUGGAGUUCAUUACAUGCAGC
rnacentral:lncRNA from 14 species